rnacentral:lncRNA from 1 species
AUGCGGAAGAGAGACCUUCCAUUGGCUGGUUCACUUCCCAAAUGCCUGAAACAGCCAGGGCUGGGCCAGGCCAAGGCGAGGAGCCUGGAGCUCCAUCCGGGUCUCCCACAUGGGCGGCCUGAGCACUUGAGUUUACACCUGCUGCCUCCCAGGUGCACAUCAGCAGGAAGCUGGAAUUGGAAGCAGGAGAUUCAGGACUCCAACCAGGCACUGCAGUAUGUGAUAUGCGUGUCCCCCGCAGGGCCUGACCCCUGUGCUGACGCCCAAUGCCAAUGUGUCCUGUUGCUGUGUGGCCUCGGGGCCUGGGUCUCUCACCCACACAAUUGCAGGGCUGCAUCAACCCGAGGUUGGUGGGCGGGGACUCAGGCUGGUGAUGGCUGCCACACAUGGGGAAAUCCAGGCUCAGCCAAGUCACCUUCAUCACAGGAAUCAGCAGGUGCCUGCUGGCUGUCAUGGGGGCAGUGCCCGAGUGUCCUGUGUUGGGGUUUCUGGGAAUGGGCUUAUCGGAGCCUCAGCGGGGACACCUCAGGGAACCGCGGGAUGGAAACGAGGGAAGUGGAUGUUUUACCUGGACACCCGUGCUCUCAGCACUGUCGUUUCUUUUAUUAUUAUUAUUAUUGUUAUUAUUUUUUUGACAGGCAGAGUGGAGAGAGAGAGAGAGAGAGAGAAAGGUCUUCCUUUUGCUGUUGGUUCACCCUCCAACGGCCACCGCGGCCGGUGCAUCGCACUGAUCCGAAGCCAGGAGCCAGGUGCUUCUCCUGGUCUCCCAUGCGGGUGCAGGCCCCAAGUACUUGGGCCAUCCUCCACUGCACUUCCCUGGCCACAGCAGAGAGCUGGCCUGGAAGAGGGGCAACCGGGACAGAAUCCGGCACCCUGACCGGGACUAGAACCCGGUGUGCCGGCGCCGCAAGGCGGAGGAUUAGCCUAGUGAGCCGCGGCGCCGGCCAGCACUGUCGUUUCUUUCCCCCUCACCUGCUACCUGCACUUCCGGGCUCAAGGCAGUUGCUGGGGUUUCAGAUCUUGGAGCUGAACAAACACCUUGAACUUUGGUCUGGAAGAAUCUGA